rnacentral:rRNA from 1 species
GUGUCAGCCGCCGCGGUAAUACGUAGGGGGCAAGCGUUGUCCGGAAUCAUUGGGCGUAAAGCGCGUGUAGGCGGCUUGAUAAGUCUGUUGUGAAAGUCCAGGGCUCAACCCUGGAAUGCCGAUGGAUACUGUCAAGCUCGAGUCCGGAAGAGGCGAGUGGAAUUCCUGGUGUAGCGGUGAAAUGCGCAGAUAUCAGGAGGAACACCAAUGGCGAAGGCAGCUCGCUGGGACGGUACUGACGCUGAGACGCGAAAGCGUGGGGAGCAAACAGGAUUAGAUACCCUGGUAGUCCACGCCGUAAACGAUGGGUACUAGGUGUGGGGGGUGUCGACUCCCUCCGUGCCGAAGCUAACGCAUUAAGUACCCCGCCUGGGGAGUACGGCCGCAAGGCUAAA